AUACGGAGGGGGUUAGCGUUGUUCGGAAUUACUGGGCGUAAAGCGUGCGUAGGCGGACUAUUAAGUCAGAGGUGAAAUCCCGGGGCUCAACCCCGGAACUGCCUUUGAUACUGGUAGUCUUGAGGUCGAGAGAGGUGAGUGGAAUUCCUAGUGUAGAGGUGAAAUUCGUAGAUAUUAGGAGGAACACCAGUGGCGAAGGCGGCUCACUGGCUCGAUUCUGACGCUGAGGUACGAAAGUGUGGGGAGCAAACAGGAUUAGAUACCCUAGUAGUCC
rnacentral:rRNA from 1 species